rnacentral:snRNA from 1 species
AUACUUACCUGCCAGGGGAGAUAUGAUCACAAAGGUAGUUUUCCUGGGGCGAGGCUUAUCCAUUGCACUCUGGAUGUGCUGACCCCUGCAAUUUUCCCAAAUGUGAGAAACUCGCUGCAUAAUUUGUGAUAGUGGGAGACUGCAUUCACACUCUCUCUCG